rnacentral:rRNA from 1 species
UACAAAGAGUGCAAACGUUGCUCGGAAUUACUGAGCGUAAAGCGCGUGUAGGCGGAUUGCUAAGUCGGGCGUGAAAUCCCCAAACUCAACCUGAGAACUGCGCUCGAAACUGACAGUCUCGAGUAUCGAAGAGGGUGGCGGAAUUCCUGGUGUAGAAGUGAAAUUCGUAGAUAUCAGGAGGAACACCGAUGGCGAAGGCGACCACCUGGACGAUUACUGACGCUGAGACGCGAAAGCGUGGGGAGCAAACAGG